UUUACGACUUUCGGCAACGGAUAUCUUGGCUCUCGCAUCGAUGAAGAACGUAGCGAAAUGCGAUACUUGGUGUGAAUUGCAGAAUCCCGUGAACCAUCGAGUCUUUGAACGCAAGUUGCGCCCGAGGCUAUCCGGCCGAGGGCACGCCUGCCUG
rnacentral:rRNA from 1 species